UGCAUCAAUUUUUACAGACUUCCUUAUAUGUUGUGUAAAACGAGGAGCACUUUCAUUUAUUGUAAAUGAAGCUCAUUGAAAUUAUUUUGUUUUCACUUUUUUUAAUACUUUUGGGAUUCAAAAUAAGGGAAAUCAAUUCAAUAACUAAUCGUAUAGGUAGUUAUCAAUUAUCCGAGAGCACUGCAGUUUUAGCAAGCAUAUUUGACCCACCAAGCUACCGAUCGUCGAAACUAAAAUGUCUUCUGACAUGUUUGAGAACAAGGCAAUGUAAUUCAGCAGGUAACUACAAUCAAAGAUGUCUUCAAACAGACCAAGGGCACAGCAACAACAACUACAACUAUGAAGUGCAUCAAAGUGUUGAUCAGAUCUACCACGCGGCUCCUCCGGACUUCCAAUGUUUCGUCAACGGAGUAUCGCAACCUGAUUCUGGAGUUUGUGAUCUCGACAGUAAAACCAGCUACGAAUGGUCGGCAUGGGAAGAUGUAACUGCCAAUCCUUGUGGAUCAAUUUCACGAGUGGUCAUAACCCGACAGCAAA